AGGGUAGGACAAAGUUUCCAGAGAAUCCAUAUCCGUCAAAUGCACGAUGACCAUAAACAAUCAGUCCGAAUUCUGAUUUAUCUGUUGUUGAUAAAACAAAUGUUUCACCAGUAUUUUUGACUUGAAAGACACGGACGUCGUAUGCUUUAUCUAAAUACACAGAACUCUGAUAAACAGUGUUAUAAUGAUCUCUAGAGAGGCCAUUUAUCUGAAGGUUGUCUAUGGAGACUGCUGGAAUUAUUAGACAUAGGAAGUUUUCUGUAUAUCCAGAUGGUAUUGUGAUCUUGUAGAAAGCGAGAUACUGAUGCACGCCGGGAAUGACCGUCAUGGUAUUGACAUCCCAAUAUUUAGUUGGAAGUUCCUAGGUAUCGUCAGCUAGUGACAGUCUGCUGGCAAAUCCAGACAUGCAUUGAAAGGAUGCUGAUGUGGAGGACACAGGAACACCUGAUCCAAGAACUGUGGCAUUUCAUUCGGAGCGACAGCUUGGCAUUCAAUAUUAGACCCUAUUAUUCAGAGAACUGCAGAUUUUAUGAAGCUGUUUUUUGACAGAAGAUUUGGUUUUCUCCAUCUGUAUUGCCACCAACCAUUAUGCUGAGAUGGUCAUAUCUAGGGGGAAGGAGUGUCAAUAUGCUUCCCAAGGAAGAGGAAUUGUACAGGUGUUACUAGUUUUAAAGUACUGAUAUUGUGAUUGUGAUUCCCAGUUUAAAAUGAAUAAUAAAAUGCAAACUAAAAA